ACGGAGGGUGCAAGCGUUAAUCGGAAUUACUGGGCGUAAAGCGCACGCAGGCGGUUUGUUAAGUCAGAUGUGAAAUCCCCGGGCUCAACCUGGGAACUGCAUUUGAAACUGGCAAGCUUGAGUCUCGUAGAGGGGGGUAGAAUUCCAGGUGUAGCGGUGAAAUGCGUAGAGAUCUGGAGGAAUACCGGUGGCGAAGGCGGCCCCCUGGACGAAGACUGACGCUCAGGUGCGAAAGCGUGGGGAGCAAACAG
rnacentral:rRNA from 1 species